UAAGACUAUAGAUCCUGGACUUCCCACAU
rnacentral:piRNA from 1 species